rnacentral:rRNA from 1 species
CGCGGCCUAUCAGCUUGUUGGUGAGGUAACGGCUCACCAAGGCGACGACGGGUAGCUGGUCUGAGAGGACGAUCAGCCACACUGGGACUGAGACACGGCCCAGACUCCUACGGGAGGCAGCAGUGGGGAAUCUUGCGCAAUGGGCGAAAGCCUGACGCAGCAACGCCGCGUGCGGGAUGAAGGCCUUCGGGUUGUAAACCGCUUUCAGUGGGGACGAAAUCAGACGGUACCCACAGAAGAAGCCCCGGCCAACUACGUGCCAGCAGCCGCGGUAACACGUAGGGGGCGAGCGUUGUCCGGAAUCAUUGGGCGUAAAGAGCUCGUAGGCGGCUCAGUAAGUCGGGUGUGAAACCCCUAGGCUCAACCUAGGGACGCCACUCGAUACUGCUGUGGCUAGAGUCCAGUAGGGGAGUGUGGAAUUCCCGGUGUAGCGGUGAAAUGCGCAGAUAUCAGGAGGAACACCGGUGGCGAAGGCGGUUCUCUGGGCAUUACCUGACGCUGAGGAGCGAAAGUGUGGGGAGCGAACAGGAUUAGAUACCCUGGUAGUCCACACCGUAAACGUUGGGCGCUAGGUGUGGGGCCUAUUCCAUGGGUUCCGUGCCGCAGCUAACGCAUUAAGCGCCCCGCCUGGGGAGUACGG